AUGGAGGGUGACAGGAAAUCUGAGACUGAGAAGAUGCUGAAAUCUAGUUCUGUUGUUACACGUUCAACAGCAUCGUCAAAAAGGUCUAGUAGGACAUCGGCUAGCAUGGCUGCUGCCAAAGCACGAGCUAGAGCUGAGGCAGAGCGUACACGUGCAUAUUAUGUCAAGAAAGAAACUGAAAUGAAAGUAGAAAAAGUUCGCAUGGAAGGCAGUCUUAAAGCAUUAGAACAUGAAAAGGAGGCUGCUGCCGCUAUGGCCGAGGCAAGAAUAUUAGAGGAGGCUGUAGAGAGCAUGGAGGAAGGCAGUUAUCGUUCACAUAGCCCGAUUGCUCCUGUUGCAGACCCUGUGCAGCGCACGAGUGAUUAUGUGGAGCAGCACACAAAUAACUCCAUUGUUGUUCCUCCUGAGGAAAUAAGUUUAGCCACUCCACCUGUUGAUUUCAUGAACCUUUAUGGAAGUGAAAACAAGCAGUUAAAGGAAAGCUCUCAUAGGAGUGUGCCACCUGAUUUUGUUGAACAAGUCAACGAUUCAGUCUCAAAGCCUUACGCUAACAAGAUUGAAAAGCCUCAGUCUGCCACGUACAGUCCAGUUAAUUACUGGCCCCUUGCACAGACUUUCAAUUCCGGCGUUCCUAUGCAGUCACCUUCCCACGGAGAAGUUGAAAUGAGUGAUUUAGCAAGGUUUCUUGCCCGUCGUGAGAUCAUUAGUUCCGGGCUCACAAUAUUCGACGAUCACCCAGAAAACUACUGGGCUUGGAAAUCCUCUUUCUUAAAUGCCACCAGUGGGCUCAAACUCUCUUCCAGUGAGCAGUUGGAUUUACUGAUUAAGUGGUUAGGCAGUCGGUCAUCAGAAUAUGUGAGACGCAUCAGGUCAGUGAAUAUAAGGUAUCCUGACGCAGGGCUUAAAAUGGCAUGGGAUCGUCUAGAAGAGAUGUAUGGAUCCCCGGAAGUGGUUGAGAAGGCACUUUUUGACAAAAUUGAGAAAUUUCCAAAAAUCAAUAAACAAGAUCCUCUGAAAUUACAAGAGCUCGGAGAUCUGCUACGUGAGGUUCAGUCUGCUAAAGCUGAAGGGUACUUGACAGGACUUUCUUAUCUGGACACCUCCAGAGGAGUCAGUCCGAUCGUGGAGAAGCUGCCUUAUCACCUGCAAGAAAAAUGGAUUUAUCAGGGUUCUGAGUACAAAAGGAAGUACAACGUUACCUUCCCUCCAUUCUCCUUUCUUACUGACUUUGUCUGUCAGGAAGCACGUACUCGAAACGAUCCAAGCUUUAGCUAUAGUGCAGUCUGUACAACCCAGAUCAAAGCAGAACCGUUGGUUAAAAGACAAUUGCAAAGAAGGAUGGCUGUGUCUACACACAAGACGGGUGUAACAUCGUCAACCGGAUUUCUUCCCACAAGAAUUUCCGAAAAUGAACCUAUUGAUGUUGAAAAGCAGUGUCCCAUACAUAAAAACAAACCUCAUCCUCUGAGACGUUGCCGUGGGUUUAGAGCGAAGACUCUAGAAGAAAGGCAAACACUGCUUAGAGAAAAUGGUGUGUGCUAUAGAUGUUGUGCUUCGACGGUUCACUUGGCAAAGAACUGCAAGGCAGUAACCAAAUGUAACGAAUGUGAAAGCGCCCGACAUGUGUCUGCACUUCAUCCUGGUCCUCCACCGUGGGCCAACAAAGACCCUUCAUCAGAUCAUGGCGGGGAGGAGGAUAAAAGCCCUUCUCCUACUGUAACUUCACAAUGCACAGAGAUUUGUGGAGACAGUCCUAUACCCAAAUCAUGCUCUAAGAUAUGCUUGAUAGGAGUAUAUCAUGAGGAUCAUCCAGAAAUUAUGGUCAAGAUGUACGCAGUGCUCGAUGAGCAAAGUAAUAGAUCUCUAGCUAGACCUGAGUUUUUUGAUCUAUUCAAAGUAAAAGGAACAGAGCAUCCAUACACUCUUCGAACUUGUGCUGGGUUAACAGAAACUUCAGGAAGAAGAGCCACUGGGUUUCAAGCUGUAUCUAUGGAUGGAAAGACACACGUGUCACUUCCAACACUCAUCGAGUGUAAUUAUAUGCCUGACGACCAUUCUGAGAUCCCAUCUCCCACCAUUGCACGCCAGUUCCCUCACUUGAUAUCUAUUGCUCACGAAAUACCAGAGAUAGAUCCAUGUGCUAAGAUACUGCUUCUCUUAGGGAGAGACAUCAUCCAAGUCCACAAAGUGAGGAAACAGCUCAAUGGUUUGAAUAAUUCACCGUACGCCCAAAAACUCGACUUUGGCUGGGUGAUAGUGGGAAAUGUCUGCUUGGGGUCAGCACAUAAACCUAGCACAGUUGACGUGUUCCGCACAAACAUACUUCUCAAUGGACGCCCAAGCAUAUGUGAGCCAUGUCCUAAUCAGAUACAGGUGAAAGAGAAGCUAAGCAGUAAAAAUCAUCCCAUCUCUUUACAUGGCUGUCGCUUUUACCCAUCCACCUGCCCUGAGUACUUGCUGGGUAACACUAUUUUCGAACGGACUCAAGAUGAUGAAAAGAUAGCCCCUUCCAUUGAAGAUCGUGCAUUCUUGAAACUGAUGGACAAGGAAAUGUUCAUUGACAGCUCUAACAGCUGGGUGAGCUCGGACACCUGUGCCACCAGCGCUUGGAUAGCACGUCCGGUGUUUGUGAUGCUCUCCUGCUGCUGA
ensembl:lncRNA